AACGCACAUUGCGCUCCUCGGUAUUCCGGGGAGCAUGCCUGUUCGAGCGUCAUUGCAUCUCUCAAGCGUAGCUUGGCUUUGGAUCUUCGUCUCUACAAGGACGUGUUCGAAAAAGAGUGGCGGUCGAGUACGACUUCAAGCGUAGUAAAUUUUAUCCCGCUUUGGAAGUUUUCGUACUUUGGCCUGCCAAAUACUAUCAUAUAUUUUCAAUGAUUGACCUCGGAUCAGGUAGGGAUACCCGCUGAACUUAA
rnacentral:misc_RNA from 1 species